rnacentral:rRNA from 1 species
CUAGAGUAUGGUAGGGGUAGAGGGAAUUCCCGGUGUAGCGGUGAAAUGCGUAGAUAUUGGGAGGAACACCCGUGGCGAAAGCGGUCUACUGGACCAGAACUGACACUGAGGGACGAAAGCCAGGGUAGCGAACAGGAUUAGAUACCCCCGUAGUCCUCGCCGUAAACGAUGGAUACUAGGCGUUGUCGGUAUCGACCCGGUCAGUGCCGAAGCUAACGCGUUAAGUUCCCGCCUGGAGUCCCC